CACAGACAAAUGAAAUACGUAUAAAACCCUAAAAAAAAUUUACUUAAAAUUAAUUAUAAUCGUCGCCGGAAAAGUUCACCCGAGUCCUUCAAAACAGACUGUAAUUUCAGUUGCAGUGACUUAACGAUUAGCCAAGUUGAAGCGAUCAAAUGGACAAAGGUUUUUGGAUGCCCAAGGGGGGUGCUCAUGUAACAAAUGGAGAUGCAGUUUUUGAUAACUCGUCUAGACUGGAGUCUAAGCGUGCCCGCCAAUGGUUCUUGGAUUUUGCUGAGCCGGAUUUAUUUCCUAGUAAAAAGCAGGCUGUUGAAGGUUCAAGUGGCAAGUUGGAAUCUUCAAUUCCGAGCUCUCUUGCAUGGGAAGGUUCAUCUGGAUUUCAGUCGGUGCCGUCAGUGCCAAGCCAAUUUAUGGAUCGACUAUUUGGAUCUGAAACACCCACGCCCGAAAAUCUUGGUGACAGAAACAUGCCCAUUUCUGGGAUAGAUGACUCAAAUGUAAGGAAAAAGAUCGAUGGUGAACAGUUUGAGGAUGAUCCAUCAGUUGGCUUAUCGAUGUCUUAUGCUAUGGAGGAUCCAGAAACGGGAAUAAGUUAUGGUGGACUUAGAAAAGUCAAAGUUAAUCAGGUUAAGGAUCCUGAUAAUGGGUUGCAUACGUCUAUUGAACAUGGCAUAGGGAUGAUGGAGCAAACGUACCACAGUGGAAAUGAAAACACCUUCAUGUCCAUGGGACAACCUUAUGGUAAGGAGGGUGGAAGUGUCACAUUGAUGGGCCAUUCGUAUGAUAUUGGGGAAGCAAAUGAUAGAUCUAUGGAAUUGGCUUUUGGGAAAGGUCUUGAUAGUACUAUUUCGAUGACUCACACAUACAAUAAAGCAGAAAAUAACAGUAUAUCCUUUGGCGGCUUUCAAGAUGAACAUGUCAUGGAAGCUUCUACUAGGCCGCUCAGCAACUAUAGCUUAUUGUACGAACAAUCUUCAGCUCAAAUUCCUGAGCCUCCUAGCAAAAAGGAGGUGGAUGUGCUAAAUGGCAAUGUCGAUCUUAGAACCACUCAAACACCUAAAACCAAGGUUGAUUCUGCACCUAAGAGUAAAUCGGAGUCGAAACCUGCUAGGAAAGAGGCUCCAAACAGCUUCCCGUCCAAUGUGAGGAGUUUGAUAGCAACUGGCAUGCUUGAUGGGGUGCCAGUGAGAUACGUUUCGGUCUCAAGAGAGGAGCUUCGUGGAAUCAUCAAAGGCUCUGGCUAUCUUUGUGGCUGUCAGUCCUGCAACUACUCUAAGGCACUUAAUGCAUAUGAGUUUGAGCGGCACGCUGAAUGCAAGACGAAGCACCCAAACAACCACAUAUACUUCGAGAAUGGCAAGACCAUCUAUCAGAUAGUUCAGGAGUUGAGAAGCACCCCUGAGAGUAUGCUAUUCGAUGCAAUCCAGACUGUGACUGGCUCUCCUAUAAAUCAGAAGGCCUUCCGCACUUGGAAAGAAUCAUUCCAAGCAGCAACCCGCGAGCUUCAGCGUAUAUAUGGGAAAGAAGAGCUAAACCUCUGACUAUGAGAGUACUUUUGAGAGGCAGCCUGGUCUUGAAAGUAUCCUGGUAUAGCGAUUUAUUUUAUGUGGAGGAGGGCGAGUACUAUAUUCGGGAAAUAAAACAAUGGUUCAAAGCACAACACAUUUCGGGUGGAUUCUGUACCACAAUGAUGCAACUUGAGCACCAACAUAAUAUUCUUCAAAAUGAAAAUUGAAAAUGUUUUGUAAGAACAUUUUGUUCGGCUUGGAGACAGAUUGAACUAAAAUUGAUGCAACUCUGGUUCAUUUACUUGGCCUUUGAGUUGUAGAAAUCAUGCCAGCUUUAUAUGUUUGAACAAAUCCUAUUAGUAAAAUUGUGAAGGAUGUAAGAAUAUAUUAUUA